rnacentral:rRNA from 1 species
UGACGGCCUUCGGGUUGUAAACCUCUUUCAGUAGGGAAGAAGCGAAAGUGACGGUACCUGCAGAAGGAGCGCCGGCUAACUACGUGCCAGCAGCCGCGGUAAUACGUAGGGCGCAAGCGUUAUCCGGAAUUAUUGGGCGUAAAGAGCUCGUAGGCGGUUUGUCGCGUCUGCCGUGAAAGUCCGGGGCUCAACUCCGGAUCUGCGGUGGGUACGGGCAGACUAGAGUGAUGUAGGGGAGACUGGAAUUCCUGGUGUAGCGGUGAAAUGCGCAGAUAUCAGGAGGAACACCGAUGGCGAAGGCAGGUCUCUGGGCAUUAACUGACGCUGAGGAGCGAAAGCAUGGGGAGCGAACAGGAUUAGAUACCCUGGUAGUCCAUGCCGUAAACGUUGGGCACUAGGUGUGGGGGACAUUCCACGUUUUCCGCGCCGUAGCUAACGCAUUAAGUGCCCCGCCUGGGGAGUACGGCCGCAAGGCUAAAACUCAAAGGAAUUGACGGGGGCCCGCACAAGCGGCGGAGCAUGCGGAUUAAUUCGAUGCAACGCGAAGAACCUUACCAAGGCUUGACAUGAACCGGUAACGCCUGGAGACAGGUGCCCCGCUUGCGGUCGGUUUACAGGUGGUGCAUGGUUGUCGUCAGCUCGUGUCGUGAGAUGUUGGGUUAAGUCCCGCAACGAGCGCAACCCUCGUUCUAUGUUGCCAGCACGUG